rnacentral:rRNA from 1 species
GAUGAACGCUGGCGGCGUGCCUAAUACAUGCAAGUCGAGCGAACAGACGAGGAGCUUGCUCCUCUGACGUUAGUGGCGGACGGGUGAGUAACACGUGGAUAACCUACCUAUAAGACUGGGAUAACUUCGGGAAACCGGAGCUAAUACCGGAUAAUAUAUUGAACCGCAUGGUUCAAUAGUGAAAGACGGUUUUGCUGUCACUUAUAGAUGGAUCCGCGCCGCAUUAGCUAGUUGGUAAGGUAACGGCUUACCAAGGCAACGAUGCGUAGCCGACCUGAGAGGGUGAUUGGCCACACUGGAACUGAGACACGGUCCAGACUCCUACGGGAGGCAGCAGUAGGGAAUCUUCCGCAAUGGGCGAAAGCCUGACGGAGCAACGCCGCGUGAGUGAUGAAGGUCUUCGGAUCGUAAAACUCUGUUAUUAGGGAAGAACAAAUGUGUAAGUAACUAUGCACGUCUUGACGGUACCUAAUCAGAAAGCCACGGCUAACUACGUG